GAGAAUGCUUAAGCAGCACACAGCAGCGGCUGAGUCACUGUUCCCUAGGCACUGGCUUCAUGAGAGCUGUUACCUUGAUAGAAAAUGUCUGCUUGACACUACUUCAUGAAACAAGAUCAUGGAUGCACUGCUCCCAGAGACAAACUUUGAAAUGUUCUCUUAACAGCCCUGUAGUUUCCUAAGCAAGAUACUCUUCAAGGGACUGACGGAUGGUGUUCUUCAGCAAGGCGAAGAAAGAGAAAUCACCGCACAGGGUUCCCAGUUGCUUCUGUUUCUUUAGGAGAGAAUUGCAAUGUGUUUUCUUUAAGUUUGGACCAAUUCUAUUUCAUUCACUUGAAUGUAAUGUGUCUGGACAUAAGUUAUUAGAGGAGAGGUGACUCAUUUAACAGGCUUACUGUGUGAAACAUCAGCUAAGGGAUCUGUGACACACACAGAUGCAGAAAUGCAUCUGUUUUAGUUAAAAAGACUAAUUGACAUAUAUUUUCAAGUUAUAUGAUGGACAUACUUCAAAUAAUCCCAAGAGAACCCAAUAAAAUAAACUUUUAUGACUACAGUAUAAUCUGUGACAUAAUUAACAUAGCAUAGAGAUAUUAUACAAGAAAAUAAGACCACCUAUGUCCCCUUUAACAGCAGUGACAAAAGAGGAAAUCAGAAAGAUUGAAGGGGUGAGAUAGAUAAGAAUGGGUUCUCUUUUGCUAAGAUGCAGGUUACUGGUUUCAAGGUCUGAGUGUAAGGCUGAGGAACUAAGGGGAUUUUCAAGAUCAUAUGUGGGAAAGUUGGAAGAAGAGGCUAGCAAACAAGCAAAAAGUUGUCAUCUAUACUUACAGUAACAGGUUAGUGACAAUGAGAGUAGAAAGAAUGUUAUAUCUCUCCAAUUCCUAAUAUAAAAACAACAUGAAGGCUAGUCUUGGUUAUCAACUUACUAUAUCUGAAAUUAACUACAGUCAACAUAUCUGGGUACACCUGUGAUGUAAUUGUCUUAAUUUUAUCACCUGGAACAGGAAGACCCAUAUUACCCUGGAUCUUUUGAGAUAGGAAGAUCUGCCUUUAGUUUGGGCCACACCAUCUGGUGGCAGCCUAUAAAGGACGUGGAAGAAGAACGAUUUUGCUUUUGCCUGCAUGCUCUUGCUUUUUCUGAAAUCAACCUGGCCAGCAUCAUUCCUGCUUCCAACUAAGAUCCAUGACACAGACAAUCAUGCAGGAUUCAUCACCUCUGUGUAAAUGAAUGGAUAAAUCAAAAGGAAGAAAAAAGGAGAGAUAAAAAGAAAGAGAAGAAAAGCUUUUAUAAGGGUAUGGUAUGGAAACAGUGCAUCUAAAUCAGGCAGGUGGUCACAGAUGUAGUUUGCUGUUUUUAUGAUGCUGGUCUCAGGAACUUAGGAGUGUGCAAAAAGCCUUGCUCUAGCUUGCUUUAUAUGGCAGGAAUGAAAAUUGUGACCAAAAGCAAUUUGAGGCAGAAAUAGUUUAUUUUUGCUUCCAGUUCCAGAAAACAGUGCGUCACUGAAUGGAGAGAAGGAGUUGAAACUCAUCAAGCAGGGAAGGAACUUGAAGUAGAGGCCACAGAAGAAAAGCCGCUUAUUCACCUAGCUUUGUCUUAUAGUGUGGAUCUAUCUGCCUAGGUACUUUCCGAAAAAGGCAUGGUCCUAUCAUGUUAGCCAAGGCAAUCUGCCACAGGUAUGGCCACAGCCCAAUCUGACCUUAGAAAUGACUCACUUGAAGGCCCCUCUUCCCAGGUGACUAGAUUGUGU